UCCUUGGUAGCUCAGUUGGUAGAGCAUGGCGCUUGUAAUGCCAUGGUAGUAGGUUCAAUUCCCGGGAC
rfam:Salmo salar isolate Sally breed double haploid chromosome ssa09, whole genome shotgun sequence.